rnacentral:piRNA from 1 species
UGACUUUCAUUAAAAAUAAGCGCGGUC